rnacentral:rRNA from 1 species
GGGUUGUGAGGUUAAGCGACUAAGCGUACACGGUGGAUGCCCUGGCAGUCAGAGGCGAUGAAGGGCGUGCUAAUCUGCGAUAAGCGCCGGUAAGGUGAUAUGAACCGUUAUAACCGGCGAUACCCGAAUGGGGAAACCCAGUGUGAUUCGUCACACUAUCAUUAACUGAAUCCAUAGGUUAAUGAGGCGAACCGGGGGAACUGAAACAUCUAAGUACCCCGAGGAAAAGAAAUCAACCGAGAUUCCCCCAGUAGCGGCGAGCGAACGGGGAGGAGCCCAGAGCCUGAAUCAGCAUGUGUGUUAGUGGAAGCGUCUGGAAAGGCGCGCGAUACAGGGUGACAGCCCCGUACACAAAAGCGCAUGUGCUGUGAGCUCGAUGAGUAGGGCGGGACACGUGGUAUCCUGUCUGAAUAUGGGGGGACCAUCCUCCAAGGCUAAAUACUCCUGACUGACCGAUAGUGAACCAGUACCGUGAGGGAAAGGCGAAAAGAACCCCGGCGAGGGGAGUGAAAAAGAACCUGAAACCGUGUACGUACAAGCAGUGGGAGCCCCACCACUAAGCCAGUGGUGAACUCCACAUACGCAUCCUUUGCUGAGGAUACGGUUAACGGAGCGAAAGCGACGUUCAACCGCAAAAGAAGCAGAGGGGGCUUAGUGGUGGGGUGACUGCGUACCUUUUGUAUAAUGGGUCAGCGACUUAUAUUCUGUAGCAAGGUUAACCGUAUAGGGGAGCCGGAGGGAAACCGAGUCUUAAUUGGGCGUUAAGUUGCAGGGUAUAGACCCGAAACCCGGUGAUCUAGCCAUGGGCAGGUUGAAGGUUGGGUAACACUAACUGGAGGACCGAACCGACUAAUGUUGAAAAAUUAGCGGAUGACCUGUGGCUGGGGGUGAAAGGCCAAUCAAACCGGGAGAUAGCUGGUUCUCCCCGAAAGCUAUUUAGGUAGCGCCUCGUGAACUCAUCUCCGGGGGUAGAGCACUGUUUCGGCUAGGGGGCCAUCCCGGCUUACCAACCCGAUGCAAACUGCGAAUACCGGAGAAUGUUAUCACGGGAGACACACGGCGGGUGCUAACGUCCGUCGUGAAGAGGGAAACAACCCAGACCGCCAGCUAAGGUCCCAAAGUCAUGGUUAAGUGGGAAACGAUGUGGGAAGGCCCAGACAGCCGGGAUGUUGGCUUAGAAGCAGCCAUCAUUUAAAGAAAGCGUAAUAGCUCACUGGUCGAGUCGGCCUGCGCGGAAGAUGUAACGGGGCUAAACCAUGCACCGAAGCUGCGGCAGCGACACUGUGUGUUGUUGGGUAGGGGAGCGUUCUGUAAGCCUGUGAAGGUGUGUCGUGAGGCAUGCUGGAGGUAUCAGAAGUGCGAAUGCUGACAUAAGUAACGAUAAAGCGGGUGAAAAGCCCGCUCGCCGGAAGACCAAGGGUUCCUGUCCAACGUUAAUCGGGGCAGGGUGAGUCGACCCCUAAGGCGAGGCCGAAAGGCGUAGUCGAUGGGAAACGGGUUAAUAUUCCCGUACUUGGUGUUACUGCGAAGGGGGGACGGAGAAGGCUAUGUUGGCCGGGCGACGGUUGUCCCGGUUUAAGCGUGUAGGCUGGUUUUCCGGCAAAUCCGGAAAAUCAAGGCUGAGGCGUGAUGACGAGGCACUACGGUGCUGAAGCAACAAAUGCCCUGCUUCCGGGAAAAGCCUCUAAGCAUCAGGUAACAUCAAAUCGUACCCCAAACCGACACAGGUGGUCAGGUAGAGAAUACCAAGGCGCUUGAGAGAACUCGGGUGAAGGAACUAGGCAAAAUGGUGCCGUAACUUCGGGAGAAGGCACGCUGACACGUAGGUGAAGUGAUUUACUCACGGAGCUGAAGUCAGUCGAAGAUACCAGCUGGCUGCAACUGUUUAUUAAAAACACAGCACUGUGCAAACACGAAAGUGGACGUAUACGGUGUGACGCCUGCCCGGUGCCGGAAGGUUAAUUGAUGGGGUCAGCGCAAGCGAAGCUCCUGAUCGAAGCCCCGGUAAACGGCGGCCGUAACUAUAACGGUCCUAAGGUAGCGAAAUUCCUUGUCGGGUAAGUUCCGACCUGCACGAAUGGCGUAAUGAUGGCCAGGCUGUCUCCACCCGAGACUCAGUGAAAUUGAACUCGCUGUGAAGAUGCAGUGUACCCGCGGCAAGACGGAAAGACCCCGUGAACCUUUACUAUAGCUUGACACUGAACAUUGAGCCUUGAUGUGUAGGAUAGGUGGGAGGCUUUGAAGUGUGGACGCCAGUCUGCAUGGAGCCGACCUUGAAAUACCACCCUUUAAUGUUUGAUGUUCUAACGUGGACCCGUUACCCGGGUUGCGGACAGUGUCUGGUGGGUAGUUUGACUGGGGCGGUCUCCUCCUAAAGAGUAACGGAGGAGCACGAAGGUUGGCUAAUCCUGGUCGGACAUCAGGAGGUUAGUGCAAUGGCAUAAGCCAGCUUGACUGCGAGCGUGACGGCGCGAGCAGGUGCGAAAGCAGGUCAUAGUGAUCCGGUGGUUCUGAAUGGAAGGGCCAUCGCUCAACGGAUAAAAGGUACUCCGGGGAUAACAGGCUGAUACCGCCCAAGAGUUCAUAUCGACGGCGGUGUUUGGCACCUCGAUGUCGGCUCAUCACAUCCUGGGGCUGAAGUAGGUCCCAAGGGUAUGGCUGUUCGCCAUUUAAAGUGGUACGCGAGCUGGGUUUAGAACGUCGUGAGACAGUUCGGUCCCUAUCUGCCGUGGGCGCUGGAGAACUGAGGGGGGCUGCUCCUAGUACGAGAGGACCGGAGUGGACGCAUCACUGGUGUUCGGGUUGUCAUGCCAAUGGCACUGCCCGGUAGCUAAAUGCGGAAGAGAUAAGUGCUGAAAGCAUCUAAGCACGAAACUUGCCCCGAGAUGAGUUCUCCCUGAGACUUAGAGUCUCCUGAAGGAACGUUGAAGACGACGACGUUGAUAGGCCGGGUGUGUAAGCGCAGCGAUGCGUUGAGCUAACCGGUACUAAUGAACCGUGAGGCUUAACCUUACAACGCCGAAG